AGCGAACGCUGGCGGCAGGCCUAACACAUGCAAGUCGAACGAACUCUUCGGAGUUAGUGGCGGACGGGUGAGUAACACGUGGGAACGUGCCUUUAGGUUCGGAAUAACUCAGGGAAACUUGUGCUAAUACCGAAUGUGCCCUUCGGGGGAAAGAUUUAUCGCCUUUAGAGCGGCCCGCGUCUGAUUAGCUAGUUGGUGAGGUAAAGGCUCACCAAGGCGACGAUCAGUAGCUGGUCUGAGAGGAUGAUCAGCCACAUUGGGACUGAGACACGGCCCAAACUCCUCCGGGGGGCAGCAGUGGGGAAUCUGGCGCAAGGGGCGAAAGCCUGACGCAGCCAUGCCGGGUGAAUGAUGAAGGUUUUAGGAUUGUAAAAUUCUUUCCCCGGGGACGAUAAUGACGGGCCCCGGAGAAGAAGCCCCGGCUAACUUCUU
rnacentral:rRNA from 1 species